GAGAGAAAGAAAAAGCAAGGAAUAAGAUUGAUCGAGUUAAAAAGUUUCUUUCUUAGUGGCAAAAAGCAUGGUUACAACGAGACCAAAAAGUUUCACCAUCUUCUAACGAGGAAUCGUAUGCUUGGCAGGGAACAAAACGCCUGGAACAACAACAAGCUCCUGCUUGGUCCUCCUUCCAGCAUGGAACUAGUUAAAGAAACUUUCAAGUAACCUCCUCGUCGUCCAUGUGGUGCUGGAGAUUUUCCUUGAACUGACUCGGAAGAGGACACGCGCGAGCCUUCGAAAAUUGGAUUUAUCGUAGAAAACGGAUUUUAUAUUAUCUCAAUUACGUUCUCUUGCUCAAACAUAAAAAGAAAGAGAGAGAGAGAGAGAGAGAGAGAGAGAGAGAGAGAGAAAGAAAAUUAACAUUUCUCAAGGAUUACGUUGCUGCAUGAAUCAUGUCCGAAACAUUACGUCGAACAUAUUAUGAGAAAUAUCUAUCAUAACAAAAUAAAAAAAAAAAAAAAAAAAAAAAAAAAAAAAAAAAAAAAAAUACAAAAAAAUACAAAAAAAAAAAAAAAAAAAAAAUAGAAAAAGAAAAAGAAAAAACGAACGUGACGUGCGGUACACAUGGAAAAAUGACUUUCAUAGAUUUCACGCGAACAACAAGAGGCUAGCUAUGGCUUCGGCUCUUCGAAAAAUCCAAAGUCACUCGACGAUGAUCAUUUUAAAAGCGAAAGAAGAGUAUGUCGAUGCCGUUGAAAACACUCCAGCGAAUGCAGGCGUUAUACUCACUCUCUCUCUCUCUCUCUCUCUCUCUCUCUCUCUCUUCCCUCUCUCUCUCUCUCUCUCUCUCUUUCUCUAUCGUUCUAUCUAUCUCUCUCUAUCUCUCGUCUAACCGUACGGAACAACUUGUUUGGUCGAUUUACCGUUGUCCCACUUAGAAAGAUUGAAUUCCGAGGACCACUACGGCGAACGAGCAAAACGUUUCACGUUCGUCGCUCGUAGACAGCUUCGAAAGCGUGGCAAGCUUCCCGUGGAUUAGUAAAUGCUGACAACGAUUUAUGGACAUAACUAUAAGAUAAAUGCAGUGUACACACGUAUAUUUAUAUAUAUAUAUAUAUAUAUAUAUAUAUAUAUAUAACGUAUACGAUUACAUUUUCAUAACGUACGAAAUGAUGUUCGACAUUUCCUGGGACGCAUUUCUCUCUACAAAUUCUGUAUACCAAACAAUAUUUUCCUAUCUGUAUAUCUUAUAGUCUUCGGAAAAAUAUAAAUGAUUAUGUACCUCUGUAAUGAUAUUCUAGAACUUUACAAUAUUGUAUAAAAAAAUUGAGAUCUCCAUCUCGCAUUUUGCAAUAUUAUCCAUGUAGAUAUUAAUUUUUUAAUAUAAUUCAAUUUUUAAACUUCGUAUUUCAUAAAAUAUACGAUUAUUGACAAAUAAACAAACAAGAAGUAUCGAAUACAUUUUAUUUCUUUACAAAAUCUCGCGAAUCUCCUUGAUUGUACGAAAAAAAAAAAAAAGAAAAGAAAAGGAAAGAAAUAUAAUAAAGGAAAUCAAUAUUCGAUAAAUAAUUCAUAAAUAUGUCAUUU